rnacentral:rRNA from 1 species
UUGGAGGGCAAGUCUGGUGCCAGCAGCCGCGGUAAUUCCAGCUCCAAUAGCGUAUAUUAAAGCUGUUGCAGUUAAAAAGCUCGUAGUUGAAUUUCGGGAUCAGAGUGUCGGUCGUGCCUCGGUACGCACUGGUAUUAUUGGUUCCUACCUUCUGAAGAACCGCGAUGUCAUUAAUUUGGUGUCGUGGGGAAUCAGGACUGUUACUUUGAAAAAAUUAGAGUGUUUAAAGCAGGCUUACGCUUGAAUACAUUAGCAUGGAAUAAUGAAAUAGGACGUUUGAUUCUAUUUUGUUGGUUUCUAGGAUUGACGUAAUGAUUAAUAGGGAUAGUUGGGGGCAUUAGUAUUCAAUUGUCAGAGGUGAAAUUCUUGGAUUUAUUGAAGACUAACUACUGCGAAAGCAUUUGCCAAGGAUGUUUUCAUUAAUUAAGAACGAAAGUUAGGGGAUCGAAGACGAUCAGAUACCGUCGUAGUCUUAACCAUAAACUAUGCCGACUAGGGAUCGGAUGAUGUUAAUUUUUUAAUGACUCGUUUGGCACCUUACGGGAAACCAAAGUGUUUGGGUUC